UACGGCCACAUUAUAUUGAAACACCGGUUCCCGUCGGUUCACCGAAGUUAAGCAACAUCGAGCCUGGUUAGUACCAAGAUGGGUGAUCGCUUGGGAAUAACAAGUG